GGGGCGCUCCAUGCAGUCGAGCGGAACGAGUUAUCUGAACCUUCGGGGAACGAUAACGGCGUCGAGCGGCGGACGGGUGAGUAAUGCCUAGGAAAUUGCCCUGAUGUGGGGGAUAACCAUUGGAAACGAUGGCUAAUACCGCAUGAUGCCUACGGGCCAAAGAGGGGGACCUUCGGGCCUCUCGCGUCAGGAUAUGCCUAGGUGGGAUUAGCUAGUUGGUGAGGUAAGGGCUCACCAAGGCGACGAUCCCUAGCUGGUCUGAGAGGAUGAUCAGCCACACUGGAACUGAGACACGGUCCAGACUCCUACGGGAGGCAGCAGUGGGGAAUAUUGCACAAUGGGCGCAAGCCUGAUGCAGCCAUGCCGCGUGUGUGAAGAAGGCCUUCGGGUUGUAAAGCACUUUCAGUCGUGAGGAAGGUAGUGUAGUUAAUAGCUGCAUUAUUUGACGUUAGCGACAGAAGAAGCACCGGCUAACUCCGUGCCAGCAGCCGCGGUAAUACGGAGGGUGCGAGCGUUAAUCGGAAUUACUGGGCGUAAAGCGCAUGCAGGUGGUUUGUUAAGUCAGAUGUGAAAGCCCGGGGCUCAACCUCGGAAUUGCAUUUGAAACUGGCAGACUAGAGUACUGUAGAGGGGGGUAGAAUUUCAGGUGUAGCGGUGAAAUGCGUAGAGAUCUGAAGGAAUACCGGUGGCGAAGGCGGCCCCCUGGACAGAUACUGACACUCAGAUGCGAAAGCGUGGGGAGCAAACAGGAUUAGAUACCUGGGUAGUCAA
rnacentral:rRNA from 1 species